rnacentral:misc_RNA from 1 species
CCCUUGUGGAGGAGGACGCCGAAGGUGGGGCUAAUGACUGGGGUGAAGUCGUAACAAGGUAGCCGUACCGGAAGGUGCGGCUGGAUCACCUCCUAACAGGGAGACAACAAAAUGUUUAAUAUUAUUAUUUUGUCACCUUAGGUCGAUCGGUAUCUCACGUUCUUAAUUCGUUAAGAAUUUCAUUUCCUAAGUUUUUCUAGGUCACACCCAUUAUUUUUCCUGGGCCAUUAGCUCAGGUGGUUAGAGCGCACCCCUGAUAAGGGUGAGGUCCCUGGUUCAAGUCCAGGAUGGCCCAUAUCUCUAUGUUGGGGGUAUAGCUCAGUUGGUAGAGCGCCUGCUUUGCAAGCAGGAUGUCAGCGGUUCGAGUCCGCUUACCUCCACUGAUUACCACCUCUUCCAUAACCGGUAGAAAGGAAAUGUUUUGAGUUGUGAUCAUUAUUCUGAACGAAUCUAGCUUCCUAAUGAAAUCAUUAAGAUGCUGGACUCAUUGAAUUAAUUUCAUUGUUUUCAGAGAACCUUGACAACUGCAUAGAUUAUUUUUAAAGACAAUAAGCAUCUUUAAUGAUGCAGAUUUAUUAUUUGUGCUAAUGCAUUAAUAACAAUUCUAUUAAGCUGAUGCUUCAAUUUUUGAAGUUAUUGGUCAAGCUACAAAGGGCUCACGGAGGAUA